rnacentral:snRNA from 1 species
ACAUUGUGUGUGACAGUGACAUCUCUCACUCUACUGAUGACAAUGGUUGAUUUGAUUGAUCUGACUGGCUAGGCUGGUAUCACUUUCCUGCCUCAUGAUUCCAUGUGUCCUUCACCCAAAGUUGCACACCAGGUGGCAGAGAAUGAUCGUUCUGUAUUGAAAAAGUGUACCACUCUGUAGUGACUGGAUUACAAAGAAAACCCCCCCCCCAUUUUUUUCUAUUUUUAAAAAUUCUUUAAACAUCUCUUUGAGUGAACAAUGUGAUUCCAGGUUUUAACAUAUAUACAUACAUACAUACAUACAU